GGAGGCCCCUUGGCUGUUCCCGCAAAGGGUCGGGGGGCGCAUUUUCUCUCCCGCCAGCCAGCUCCAUCCUGGUCAUUUAUUCCCGGCCUUCCCUCACCCCCCACCCCCACAGCCUGCUGUAUGUAAAUAGGGAAAUAGAUCUACACGGACACAAUAAUUUAGCUUGCGGAAACCAGACGACCCAGCGGCCACAGGACGAGUCGCCCCAACUCAACCCCAGCAGGACGCUGGAGGGGCCUCCCUCGCCCACCUCUCUUCACUGGCACUGGCCUCCCGCACCCGGGUCUGCAGUCCCUCCGCCAUCUCACAGGUGUGCAGCCGCUAGGCCUGGGGGAUCCGAAUGACUGGGGCUGGAUAGGAAUGCCUUCGUGUUUCCCAAGACCCCCGGGCCUGCUCCACAAAGUUUGAAGGGAGCUCAGAGAUGCCCGGGAAGACGGGGUGCCCGAAGGGAAGCAGAAAAACACUUAUGGCCGCUGGGAAGUUGGGAGAGCCAGGCUGGGGCUCCGGCAGGCCCAGGGAAAGUUCCCUUUCUAGGCUCUAUAUUAAAAAAUUUAAAAGGGGGAGUUGAGGCGCCUUGAAUUUGCCUUCGCGAGUUUGGAGACCAGCCGAUUUUUCAUGAAGCAAGCAAAGACCGCGGUCCCGGAUCCUGCAACAUAUACCUCAUUUUCUCCAGGCCUCUCCACUUGCCCGAGCUCUCAGCCACCAGGAGACAGACGGAAGGGGCUUCUGGGCUGCGUUGGGAGCGGGCACUGUCCCCUACCCACUCCUGCACAGUUUCCCAAAGUCCAGCGACCUCCGACCCUCCUUGGGGGAAAAAAUACCAGUACCCAGACACCUCUGCACCCUGUUAUAUGACUGGGCUUGCUUCAGGAAUAUCUUACAAAGAAGAAGAAGAAGGAGGAGGAGGAAUGGCUUGGAGUAAUGUUUACAUCUAGUUCUACUGAUCCGUUCACAUCUGGAGAGUUUAUUUAUAACUCCCUCUAUAACUCUCUGUUUGGAGGCACUGGUGGCUCUACUGACAGACUGAUGUCUAGGAAAUAUUGCUCUAUGUCUAACCGUACCUAAAUGUGCUGUGGUUGUAUUUACAGAUUUACGUUUGAGGGAAAUAUAAUUAUUUCCAUUGUAUUUGUGCAUAUA